UACGUAGGUGGCAAGCGUUGUCCGGAAUUAUUGGGCGUAAAGCGCGCGCAGGUGGUUUCUUAAGUCUGAUGUGAAAGCCCACGGCUCAACCGUGGAGGGUCAUUGGAAACUGGGGAACUUGAGUGCAGAAGAGGAAAGUGGAAUUCCACGUGUAGCGGUGAAAUGCGUAGAGAUGUGGAGGAACACCAGUGGCGAAGGCGGCGACCUGGGUAGAUACUGACGCUGAGGCGCGAAAGCGUGGGGAGCAAACAGG
rnacentral:rRNA from 1 species